ACAACCUGCCCACUGUCAUUCUGGGAGGUGUGGUUUUUUUCCUGGUAAUAAUCAUCCUAGGACUGGUUUUGAAAACCAGACCUUGUCAUAAAGGUCAAGCCAACAGACAGAACCAACAACACAAUGAGAAUCUGGACUCUGAUCCUGUGAACUAUGCAGCACUGAAUUUCAGACCCAAAGCAAACAGGAACAGAAGGUCUGCAGAGAAGGAGAUGGAUCCAAAUGUGCUGUAUGCUGCGACCAGAUAGGCUCUCUCAAUAUUAAUAACAGCAGCUAAGGAACAAUAAUGAUCUA